CCUACGCGAGGCAGCAGUGAGGAAUAUUGGUCAAUGGGCUUACGCCUGAACCAGCCAAGUCGCGUGAGGGAAGACUGCCCUAUGGGUUGUAAACCUCUUUUGUCAGGGAGCAAUUGGCGCUACGUGUAGCGUUAUCGAGAGUACCUGAAGAAAAAGCAUCGGCAAACUCCGUGCCAGCAGCCGCGGUAAUACGGAGGAUGCGAGCGUUAUCCGGAUUUAUUGGGUUUAAAGGGUGCGUAGGCGGAAUGCCAAGUCAGCGGUAAAGUCGCGGGGCUCAACCUCGCUCCGCCGUUGAAACUGGCGUUCUUGAGUGGGCGAGAAGUAUGCGGAAUGCGUGGUGUAGCGGUGAAAUGCAUAGAUAUCACGCAGAACUCCGAUUGCGAAGGCAGCAUACCGGCGCCCAACUGACGCUGAAGCACGAAAGCGUGGGUAUCGAACAGGAUUAGAUACCCCAGUAGUC
rnacentral:rRNA from 1 species